CAAAACGACUCUCGGCAACGGAUAUCUCGGCUCUCGCAUCGAUGAAGAACGUAGCGAAAUGCGAUACUUGGUGUGAAUUGCAGAAUCCCGUGAACCAUCGAGUCUUUGAACGCAAGUUGCGCCCGAAGCCUUCGGGCCGAGGGCACGCCUGCCUGGGCGUCACGCAUCGCGUCGCCCCC
rnacentral:rRNA from 1 species